rnacentral:rRNA from 1 species
UACGUAGGGUGCAAGCGUUGUCCGGAAUUAUUGGGCGUAAAGAGCUCGUAGGCGGUUCGUCGCGUCGGCUGUGAAAUCCCGAGGCUCAACCUCGGGUCUGCAGUCGAUACGGGCGGACUGGAGUUCGGCAGGGGAGACUGGAAUUCCUGGUGUAGCGGUGAAAUGCGCAGAUAUCAGGAGGAACACCAGUAGCGAAGGCGGCACUCUGGGCCGGUGACUGACGCUGAGGAGCGAAAGCGUGGGGAGCAAACAGG